rnacentral:lncRNA from 1 species
AGCUCCUGAUUGUUCUCUUUUUAAAAACGUGUCCAUGUUUUAAGAUUUUCUACAAUUUGCAUGUCUUUGUUAAAUUUAUCAUUAGAACUAACCUGUGGGUUUUUUAAGAGAAAAGAUAUCAUCAAGCCUCAGGAACGUGAAAGAGAUUUUUCUCAGCCUGAGAGGUGGCAACCCCAGAGGAUUAUGAAGGGAUUCCUAGAAGCUAGAGAGCCAUUUGCACAACUGCCACUGGAUUAUUAAAUUGCAAACUCCAGCCUGGGUGAGGAAGACAGCUCGGCUCCACUGCUCUGACGCCUCCUCCUGCGCCUUCUUUCCUGACAGUUCAGAAGCUGUUGCUAUGAGCCUGAGCCGCUGUGUGUGUUGGCAGCUGUAACGAGGUGGACCAUGGUGUGUGUGUGUGUGUGUGUGUGUGUGUGUGUGUCAGUGACAUGGAGCACCAGGCUACCCUGUGUGCCCAAAGAACUGCAACCCUCCAGCCUAAUAGUCCACUUCUUAGAAAUAAAACCAAUUUAAAUUAAACCAACCUCAUCUUUGUUUGUGUAUCAAAUAGGAAAGAAAUUAUUUGUUGACACCCAGUGUUUGAGAGGAUACAACAAAAAAAGCAUAGGAUAUGAAAUAAAACCAUUGACCUGAAAUUCAAGUGGCAAUAAGAUUCAGGGCCAUAGAUUACUUAGUCUUUGAUCCAAUAAUCUUAUCUCUGGUCAUUUACAGAAAAGAAAAAAAUAAAGAAGAAGCAGCAGCUAUAUGCCUCAAGAUACUCGUUCCCAGAUUAUACCAAACACCAUAAAAUUGGAAACAACAGAGAGUUCCACAAAAGAAGAAGAACUGCUUUAAAGCUAGAGCACAUUUGGAAUGAUACUAUAAGGAAAAGCACUACAAAGAAAUGCUUAUGAUGUAACAUUUUAAAAUCAGAGCAUUAAAAUGUAUACUGUUUGUCAUUAUGAAUAUAGUUAUCUAAAACACAUGCAGAAGAGUUCCCAUUGUGACUCACAGGGUUAAGAACCCGACUAGUUUCCAGGAGGAUGUGGGUUCGAGCCCUAGCCUCGCUCAGUGGGUUAAGGAUCCGGCAUUGCUGUGACCUGUGGUGUAGGUUGGCAGCUGCAGCUCCGAUUCGACCCCUAGCCUGGGAACUUCCAUAUGCCACACACAACACCUAUAAUAUGCAGUGGUGGAAAGGCUAUCCCUGGAGUCAAACUGUCUGAGUUCCCAUGCCUGGUUCUCCUGGGCAGUUUACUUAGCCUCUGUCUUCUCAUCUGUAAAAUGGAAGAUCUUAAAAGUAAGUGAGCUCUGUAAAAAAAUUUUAAUGGUUCACAUCUCCCAGAGUGAGCUGGAUGGUAAGGUCUCCACCACAAACCUUUGUGGAGAAACAUACUGCACUCUAAGCUGUGGAAGAGGCCAAAGUCAAAGGUACAGGCAAAGCUGCCAGUAGGGGUAGAAUCCUAGUCAACACAUUAGAGAAGCAAGUCCAAAGACUUCACCUACCCCAGGGAAAGGAUGAGACUCUGCCAGAGAGCAGCAGAAUGGACAAACUGAGAGAAGCAAAGUGGGUGAUCUUGAGGCAAGCCCCAACACAGAUUUUUUUUUCCUGUAUGUUUGUCUAUCUAUCUAUAAUAUAUCUGCGUAUUUUAAACUUUUGGACAAUUUCAAAGCUGUCCUAAGUAGAAAGAUAUAACAAUGCACUCAUUACCCAGGGUCAACAAAAUGACUGUUUCAUCUAUUACCACAUCUACACCCCCUCCCUGGAUAAUUCUGUAAUAAUUUUAUCUGCGCAUCUGUAGAUACUUUGGCAUAUACCACUAAAAUAUACAGGCUCUUUUAUUUAGUAUGUGCACUACAUGAUUAUCAUAGCUAAAAAGCUGACAACAGUUCCCAAGGAUGCUGUUUGAGGACUCAUCCCACAGAGAGGUCAGCGGGAGACCUGGUGCAUUAAACAGCUGGGGGCAGCCAGGAGCCCAGGUCCAUCCAUCCGACGUCACCCCUCCCCACACUGCAGAGCGGGCAGCCCUGAGAACCUCCCAAGCUGUCAUCCACCUGGUGGGAGGCUGGCAGGUCUGGCACAGGGCUUUGCACUAUGUAAGUACUCAAAGACCAAAGGCAGGGCUGGACUCCGCAGGAAACUUCAAACAGACCCCAAACGAACCGCCUAAGAGGAUGCUGUCAGGGGCAGUUCUCAAGCAGAGUCCACACGGCCAGGUGAUCACUCAAGAGGGAGGAGAGAGGAGAAUGAAAAGGCUUUGUCCCCCACCACUCACUCAACCACGACUCCACUGACAACCUCCUUCCCUACUGGGCUUCUAGAACAAGAUUGUGGGAGGAAACCUUGCCGCCGCCAAACAAAGCUUCUGCUGGAGAGUCUCUUCUGCUAGUCGGGCAGGCACCUGUGCCAAGGUGUGCAGAGGUGGGAGAGCACAGGACAGCGAGCCCGAGACCCACCUCCACCUGACCUCACCAGCCACGUCCCCUCACGCAUCACCCGCAAAGUGAGGACAACACUGGUCUUUGCAGGUCGGAGGUGAACUUGGCUGUGGGACACGACAGCCCAGGCUGGGGAGUGAGUGCCUCUGCAUUGAUAGCAUCCAAAUACAUCUACCAAACUCAUGAACUGCCAUACUGAGAUGCUUACAAGAUAUUACUUUUCAAGAAGUUUGGGAAAAUGUAUUAUCACAUUUCCGUGUCCUGCAGCACAUUCAUUUACAUAGCUUGCCCUCAGGCGGUCCUGAUGACCUAGUUCUAAGCCUGUGGAAUAAGCUACCCUCUGGCAAGCACGUUUCAGGCCAGCGAUGCAGUUUCUGCAGUGUGGGCAAUGACACUCUUCAGCAAAGGAGCGACAUCUAAGGAUUAUGAGCACGAUGUAGCUGCAGGUAAGGGGACAGAGUGACAAGCAUCCCAGAUCCUGGGCACGUUUGGUGGCCCUAAGGAUGGGAUUCUUCCUCCAUAUGUAUCUUUCUUUCAUUGUUUUAUCUUGGGGAAAUUAAACUUAGAAUCAUUUUGAAGUGUGAUGCAUUGUGACUCCAUCUGCAUAAAAUCAGGGCUCAGAGCACUGGUCUCCAGAGAAAACGUUGUGUGACAUUAUUUGCUGUGAUUCAGCAGUGCACAUCAAAGAGAAAAGACGGCCCUUCUUGGGGUGGGGGGGAGGCAGAAAGGGAAAGAAUGAGCAAGCCGGUGAGAGAGCCAGGAGUCCACGGGCUGGGGCAGCGCUGAGGUCCAGGGAGGAGAGUGUGUGUGUCUUUUGCCGAAACACAACUGAGCUCAGCUCAGACAAACAAUAACCUUGGAUAUUUCUGAGUGUCUUUCCCCUUUUCGCUCUCCCCGGCAGAGGGAGGGGAUUUUCUGGAUCUUUCCUCCUCCCCAGGAGGGCCACUCUCUGCUCCCCCAGGUCAUGGGCGGUGAUUUUGCCUGAUGAAGUAGCCGCUGCUUCCCAGAUCUCCAGAACAAAAUCUGGCUCUUGGCACGAAAAUGGACACUCCCACCCCCGUUCCAAAAACAGGAAUGAAACGUUUGCCUGGCCCUUGUCAGCCCAGCAUUCUGACUGAGUGAAUGUCUUUACUCCUCUGUUGCCAUGGAGACGUGGAAAUGGGAGCCGCCAGAUCCUGCGCGCGCAGGUGAAGCCGCAGAAGACGGGCAGUUGCUUUGAGCUGACCGCAUCCUCUGCUCCUCCGACUUUAAAAUUCAGGCUGGGGAGGGCUCCCGUUCCACACCCACCACCCUCGCAGACCCGCUCAGCCUAGCGGAGACCAGAUCACCCCAGCCCGUCCUAAAUCCCUCAUCCUCUUUCUCCCAACACGUCCUCACGCACACUCCACUGCAUCUGACUGCUGUUAAUUAGGGGUUUGGGGAUGAGCUCCCAGCUCCCUGAGAGCU